rnacentral:rRNA from 1 species
CCUACGGGAGGCUGCAGUGAGGAAUAUUGGUCAAUGGACGAGAGUCUGAACCAGCCAAGUAGCGUGAAGGAUGACUGCCCUAUGGGUUGUAAACUUCUUUUAUAAAGGAAUAAAACGAGGCACGUGUGGCGUUUUGCGUGUACUUGAUGAAUAAGCAUCGGCUAACUCCGUGCCAGCAGCCGCGGUAAUACGGAGGAUUCGAGCGUUAUCCGGAUUUAUUGGGUUUAAAGGGAGCGUAGAUGGGUUGUUAAGUCAGUUGUGAAAGUUUGCGGCUCAACCGUAAAAUUGCAAUUGAUACUGGCAGUCUUGAGUACAGUUGAGGUAAGCGGAAUUCGUGGUGUAGCGGUGAAAUGCUUAGAUAUCACGAAGAACCCCGAUUGCGAAGGCAGCUUACUAAACUGUGACUGACAUUGAUGCUCGAAAGUGUGGGUAUCAAACAGGAUUAGAUACCCCAGUAGUC